rnacentral:rRNA from 1 species
GACGAACGCUGGCGGCGUGCUUAACACAUGCAAGUCGAACGGAAAGACCCUGCUUUCAGUUUACUCGAGUUGCGAACGGGUGGGUAACUCGUAGGUGAACUGCCCUGCACUUCGAGUUAAGCCUGUUAAACUGGGUCUAAUACCGGCUAGGAGCCAUUUUUAGUGGGAUGGUUGGAAAGUGUUGUCGGUUUAGGAUGAGCUUGCUACCUAACAGCUUGUUGGUGUGGUUAUGUGCUACCAAAGCGGCGACGGGUAGCCGGCCUGUGAGGGUGAACGGCGACAUUGAGACUGAGAUAAGGCACAGAUACCGACGCGAGGCAGCAGUGGGGAAGAUUGAAGAAUGGGCGCCAGCUUGAUGCAGAGACGCUGCGUGGCGGAUGACGGCCUUAGGGUUGUAAACUACUUUUGUUAGGGACGAAGCUUUUCGUGACGGUACCUAGAUAAGAAGCCCCGGCUAACUACGUG